rnacentral:snRNA from 14 species
UAGGUUAUCUGGCAGGGGAGAUACGAUGAUCACCAAGGGUGAGACCUGUCCAUUGCAUUCUUGGUGGGCUGACCCCUGAGAGUUUCCCAAAUGUGAGACACUUGAGUGCACAAUUUUGUGGCAAUGGGGGAUUACAUUCAUGCUUCUCUUG